UCCUCUGAUCGUGAACGUGAA
rnacentral:piRNA from 1 species